CCCUCAUGAUCUGGUCCCUGCCUAUUUCUCCAAUUUCAUCUAUACUCACUUCCUUAAUCCCUACAUUUCAGCUACGCUGGUCUUCAAGUUAAUUAAGCAAACCAGGAUUAGUGGUUCCUGCACAUCAGCACUUCCUAUUCCUUCUCUUUGAAAAGCUCUUUCCAGGAUUUGACAUGGCUGCCUUCAGUCAUUAAACUCCCAGCUCAAUUGUCAUCUUCUCAUAAAGGAUUUUCCUCAUAAUUCUAGCCAAAGUCAUUUCCCUCUUUUGUCUAUAUCCUAUUAUAGUGUGGUAGCCACAUGUUCUGGGAAACAAACUCACUCAGAACAAUGCAGAUAGUGGAGUGCAGUUUAUUACACCAGUGGGCCCAAGGCAGAGUCUCCUCUUAGCCAAGGAUCCCGAGCAGUUUUUUGUGAAAACCUUAUAUAUCCUAAGUGUAUAAGUUUCCCUGAAACUAGUCUGAACAAAGGAAAAAGAAAGAUACAAUCAAAGUUAACCCGUGAUUCAUAUGCCUUAAGCCUAGGUAGUUAAUAGUGGACAAUUAUCAAUAGGCCUGUGGUCAUACCCCAAUAAGCAUAGUAGAAUAUAUGAUUCUAUUCGGUUACACAGAUAAUUAGGGUAUUCUUUUAGGCAACGGAGAGCCCUGAGGCUCUUCCUUCCAGGGGCCUGGUUUUCCAGUCGGUUUGUCGUUUCCAUAGAUACUGGGCAUACAGCUCAAAGUCCACAGUCCGGCCCUAGACAGAGUCCUGCUUUCAAGAUAGAGCCUGUUCUGUUUCCUCCUUCAAUAGUUUCUUCUUAACUGCUGUUAGAAUUUGAAAUUGGUGUAUAUGUUUAUUUUCUUUCUUUCUUUUUUUUUUUUUUGAGUGUGUUCCUUCUCCAGAAUAUAAAUUAUUUGAGUGCAGGUAGACUGCACUAACUUACCAACAUCUUAACGUGCAUCUUAAGACAACAUCCAAAACAGUGGCUCAUGGAAGUUCCCCGAAAAUGAAACUGAUAAACAGAAGACUAAAGUUUUAUCCGAAAUGAAACUGAUAAACAGAAGACUAAAGUUUUAUCAGAACUGUAGCACCAGCAGAAACUUACCUAACCUGUAUAACAGGCCUGUGGUUCAUUAAAAUCAAUGGGGCAAAAUUUAUGAAAAUUCAUCAAAGAUGAUCAAAGUAGAUGCAUUUUAUUGUAUUUAAAUAAUACCUCAAUAAAGUUGAUUUUUAAAAAUAAAUAAAUAAAAUCAACCGGGCAGAAUAUCCUAAUUCCUAGGUCUCAAG
ensembl:lncRNA